CCCACUUUCUCUGCAUGGUAUGUCUAUCCGUUUGUCACCUGCUGCAGCGCCUCGUGGGACCGGCAGUCCUGCCAACUCAGCGAGGUCUCUCACCCGCCGCCUCCCACCACCUGGGACUAACAGAGGCCUGGAAUGAGCUUAUUUGGAUGUUCUUGUUUGGAUAUUUGUUGAGGAGUGAAGCUCACCAAAGAAUGUUCUUCCUUUGUGGUGGCAGAAGAGUCCUUCUUUGGAACCUGACGCUGUAGGACAACCGAUUUCUCAGUAUGGACCACAGACUACAAGAGGAGGAGGAGGAGGAGGAGGAAGAGGAGGAGGAG